rnacentral:lncRNA from 1 species
CUACCUCACCUGUCCCCCUCAUCAGAUGUCAACUAGACUACUAGGCUUUCCACCGCAUAGAAAGAAAUCAUUGAGUUUCAGCUCUUUCUCCAAACAUCUCCUCCCUUUCCCUUUCCCAGACCCAGACAGGGGCACACACACAGACCGGCGACCGACCACGCUAUCUAGCCAACCAUUAAGUGUGUGUGUGAGGAAGUGUGUGUGUUUUUUUUUCUUUGAGUAGAAAGAAUGAAGUAAGGAAAAGAAGUUAGUGGGUAUUUGCACUCUGUGCCCGUGUUUGGUAACCCAGGAUCCCUUUAAAAUAAUUUCACUUGACGGUGAAACCUGGAAGUGGAAAGUUUAUAACUGUGAAAAGUCACAGGACUUGGGUUGCCAUGGGGUGUUGGUGGUGCUGGCUACUGGUAACCUUGCUAUGGGUUUCCACGAUAACAAACCCAUGCCUUGGCCAGAGUGGUGACAGUAGCGACUGGGGCUCGGGCUUCGAUGUCUCCAUGACGACCCUCAGCAGCAACAAGAACACGUCCUCCUCCCAGGAGCCAGGAGAUUACCCUGCGGGUUCAGAAACAGAGACAAGAGAAUCCUGGGUAAAAAUACUUCCACCUAAGCCAGUGUUCCACUACAAGCCGGAGCCAGAUGAGUGCUCUGUCCACUUCAGCACCAGUCAGGCUUCCGCCAGGCGCCUCAAGGCCCAGAGAGAAGAGUUGGCCUACCUGAAGGCUAUACAGCAUGGGAACCAGGCGGUGGUGGAGAACCUAGUCCAGUACAUAGGAGCAGAGCUGGGGGAUGAGCAGCGCUACGAGGACGUCAUCGAGGAAAACAUAGUGGGCAUCAGGGAGGAGCAGCAGAGCUGUAACGGUGUGGUCCAGAAGGUGAUGGAGGAUCUGGAGGGACAGCUGGAAGGAGAUGUACUGGAGGCUCUGACUGGGAUACGGAAGUAAGUACAUGGAUGAAACCAGUUAGUUAAUACAUCUCAAUCUGUCACAGUCUAUUAUUAUAAUAAAUCCAUUAAUGUAAUGCGUGUCUGAGACUUAAACACCCAAAAGAGCAAACAUAGAGCAAGGAAAAACCUCGACACAGCCAUCCUCCUCUGGUCUGCCACUGAGAGGACCAUGCCAUAGACUGGACAGGCAGCCAGAGAGGAACAGAGACAUUCACAUACUGUAUUAGUGUGAUCUAAUCUACUGAGAGACAGGAUCUCCUCCCGGCUCAUUGAUUAGUUUAUACAGAGCUCUAUUAACAGUCACCUUAGCAACCACUGUUUUCCCCCGGUCCAUUAACGGGCACCUUAUUAACUCAGACUCUCUGUUCUUCCCAGACAUUCACAACCCUACUGUGUCCUCAUCAGAACCAAGAUGUGGCCUGGGUCUGAGUGAUGUAUUUACCUUAAUAACCAUCAUCAAGGCCUCUCUGCGGUUUAAUUACUAAUCAAAGAGGAGUCCCUAACGUUUGAGGGCCUCUUCCAGGCAGCAGCAGACAUCGCCAAGGGGCUGGAUACCUUGUCUCAGACCCUCCACGCCUCCUUCACCAAACAGCUCAAAGACUCUCUCAAAACUUUACAUCGCUAAAGAGACUUACUAUCCUCCAUCGCUAAGGAGAUUGUCUGGUCUCAGAUCUGUUUGUGCGGUCUCUCCAGUUCCUAUGGUCCUUGCUAUCACUCUUUUGUAGCCUGGUCUCAGAUCUGUUUGUGCUGUCUCUCCAGUUCCUAUGGUCUUUGCUGUGACUAUUUUGUAGCCUGGUCUCAGAUCUGUUUGUGCAAGAGAGCACAAACAGCUAUUGGACCAGGCAACUAAGGCCUAGAUUAAAUUAGAUCAAGUGUAAAGCGGCAAUAGCCGACACCCACAUAGCUGAUGUUUUGGCGGUGUCGGAGGUGUAACUACUCAUAAAUCGGUGAGCAGCAGCUCAUGUGAUCAUUGUCAUGAAGUUCAGAACAAUAAAGUAUAGGCUAUAUAGAAAUAAUUACACUGAAACUAAAAAAAUCAUUCAAUUAUGUCAUGAAGAUUUAUAUUAGACUAACCGAGGUGUAGAUUAGAUCUCAAACUCCAAUGUUCGAAAUUUCCCUUAAUGUGACUCUGUGCAGCCAAUUGCAAUGUCCACUUUAGGUAUAAAUCUGGGAGCCGCUUGUGGAUUUGACAGUUCUAAUGCAUUCCACCUCUGCCGCCGCCAAAACAACCGCUAUGAGGAUGUCUGCUAGCGCAGAUCUGAUAGAAUCUAUCCCUAAGAAGAACUCUCUCCUCUUCUUCUCUCCAUCCUACUCUACUUCCCUCCCUCCUACUCUUCUUCUGCCCCUCCUACUAUUCUUCUCUCCCUCCUACUUCCCUCCUACUCUUCUUCAAUCCCUCCUACUCUUCUUCACUCCCUCCUACUCUUCUUCUCCCCCUCCUACUCCUCUUCUCUCCCUCCUACUCUUCAUUCCUCUUACACUUCUUCUCUCCCUCCUACUUUUCUUCCCUCCCUUCUACUCUUCUUCUCCCCCUCCUACUCUUCUUCUCUCCCUCCUACUUCCCUCCUACUCUUCUUCUCUCCCUACUACUCUUCUUCUCGCCCUCCUACCCUUCUUCCCCCUCCUACUUCCCUCCUACUCUUCUUCUCUCCCUACUACUCAUCUUCUCACCCUCCUACUCUUCUUCCCUCCUACACUUCUUCCCUCCCUCCUACUCUUCUUCCCUUCUACUCUUCUUCUCUCCCUCCUACUCUUCUUCGCUCCCUUCUACUCUUCUUCUCCCCUCCUACUCUUCUCUCCCUCCUACUUCCCUCCUAAUCUUCUUCUCUCCCUCCUACUUUUCUUCCCCCCUCCUACUUCUCUCCUACUCAUCUUCCCUCCCUCCUACUCUUCUUCCCUCCCUCCUACUCUUCUUCUCUCCCUCCUACUCUUCUUCCCUCCCUCCUACUCUUCUUCUCUCCCUCCUACUCUUCUUCUCUCCCUCCUUCUCUUCUUCUCUCCCUACUACUCUUCUUCCCUCCCUCCUACUCUUCUUCUCUCCCUCCUACUCUUCUUCCCUCCCUCCAACUAUUCUUCCCUCCCUCCUUCGCUUCUCCUUCCCUCCUUCAGGCUACUACAACCUUCAACAUCUGUGUCUCUUGUCAAAACCUAAAUCUCUCUGGUCUGAACCUAGAGAUGUGUAGUGCUCUACUAAACAGAUGCUCUGACAGGAAUGUUCUUUCUGCUCAGUGUACUUUAAGUGAACCGUGAGAGGGCUGACAGAGCUAUGGAAUAAUUGGUAGAGGAUUUAUGCUGAGAUUUUGGACCACAGAUUUGUAAUGAACAGUCACUGUACUGUACUGUACCGUAGCUGUUUAAUACAGUAGCACUCACGUGUGACCAAAUGCUAUCAUAGACAAAACGCCAAGUCAGUACUUUUUCUGUUUACAAUUAUUCCAAAAAACAUUAAGUUGUUCAUACUGAGCAGUUCAGCAUAUAAUUAUAUCAUAGUAUGUAAUGUAUUUCAAACCAGAUUUUCCAUCCAGUAAAUUGCUAUUAUUACUGGAAUUUUAUGCCAGUUGGAAGUUUUGAAACAAAAUAUAUUUGUUUACGUCCCAAACUGCACUUUAUUCCCUGCAUGGUGCACUACUGUUGACCAAAGCCCUAUGGGCCCUGUUCAGAAGGGCACUAUAUCAGGAAAAGGGUGGGAUUUGUGACACAAACUCUAUUUCAGUCAUAGUAGUACGGGCAGCUCUGGUUAGCCUUAGUAUUAUGGUACAUCUGUAUUGGUCUCUCUAGGUACCAGGGUAGUAUGGUCUGUCUGUAUUGGUCUGUCUAGGUACCAGGGUAGUAUGGUCUGUCUGUAUUGGUCUGUCUAGGUACCAGGGUAGUAUGGUCUGUCUGUAUUGGUCUCUCUAGGUACCAGGGUAGUAUGGUCUGUCUGUAUUGGUCUCUCUAGGUACCAGGGUAGUAUGGUCUGUCUGUAUUGGUCUCUCUAGGUACCAGGGUAGUAUGGUCUGUCUGUAUUGGUCUGUCUAGGUACCAGGGUAAGGGUGGAGACCAGGAUAAGUUCAGGGCAGACGCUUGAAGGGAGGUUCUCCUCUCUUGUUCUAUGAAAGCAGAAGCCUGGAAUACACCCUGAUCUGUUGUUUUAUCAGUGAAAAUACACAAGUGUAAUUAGAGUGAUAUUCAGCUCAAAUAUCAGCUCAAAUUCCAGGUUUGAAAACCAAAGUGUUCAUUUGCAAAUAAAGGGAAUUGUGUACAAGUGCAAUGGGACUUUAUCUAGCUGGGUUAUAUUUGAAAGGGUAUGUUAUGCUGUGAGGAAAAUAUGUUUUUCAGAGACAUUUAUAUUGUAUGCAGUGAGUUGGUGAGGAAAGGGGCAGCCAGGCGUGGGGUGAUUGUGACUUUGACCCCCAUUCCUUGUCAGAGUUCAAACGACAACCCAAUGCUGUUGAAUGGGUUGGAAACAUAGGCUACAUCCUAAAUGGCAGCCUAGUCCCUAUAUAGUGCACUACUUUAGAGCAGAGCCCUAUGGCAUCCUAUUCCUUAUAUAUAGUGCACUACUUUAGACAGAGCCCUUUGGCACCCUAUUCCCUAUAUAGUGCACUACUUUAGACCAGCGCUCUAUGGCACCCUAUUCCCUAUAUAGUGCACUACUUUAGACCAGAGCCCUAUAGCACCCUAUUCCCUAUAUAGUGCACUACUUUGGACCAGGACCCAAGUAUAGAGUGUCAUUUGGUAUGCAACUACACACAGCCCUAAUCUGAAGUAUACAAAACCAAUUAGGCUUUAUAUAGAUGGGUUCCACUGGGAUAAUGUUGUGUAUGGUUACAGCGGGUAAUGUUGUGUAUGGUUACAAGGGGUAAUGUUGUGUAUGGUUACAGGGGGUAAUGCUGUGUAUGGUUACAGUGGGUAAUGUUGUGUAUGGUUACAGGGGGUAAUGUUGUGUAUGGUUACAAGGGGUAAUGUUGUAUGGUUACAGGGGGUAAUGUCGUGUAUUGUUACAGGGGGUAAUGCUGUGUAUGGUUACAGUGGGUAAUGUAGUGUAUGGUUACAGGGGGUAAUGUUGUGUAUGGUUACAAGGGGUAAUGUUGUAUGGUUACAGGGGGUAAUGUCGUGUAUUGUUACAGGGGGUAAUGCUGUGUAUGGUCACAGCGGGUAAUGUAGUGUAUGGUUACAGGGAGUAAUGUUGUGUAUGAUUACAAGGGGUAAUGUUGUGUAUGGUUACAGGGAGUAAUGCUGUGUAUGGUCACAGCGGGUAAUGUAGUGUAUGGUUACAGCGGGUAAUGUAGUGUAAGGUUAUCAGGGAUACUGUUGUGUAUGGUUAAAGGGGGUAAGGACGUGUAUGGUUACAGGGAGUAAUGUUGUAUGGCUACAGGGGGUAAUGUUGUAUGGUUACAGUGGGUAAUGUUGUAUGGUUACAGGGGGUAAUGUUGUAUGGUUACAAGGGGUAAUGUUGUAAAGGAAACAUAGUACUACCAUGAGUUGGUGGGGAGGCCAUGGUGGUUAUUGCGUGAGUUACUUUGACCCCCGUCCCUUUAAGAGAUCAAACAACGACAUGAGAUAAUUCAUCUCCUAGUCCAAUUCAGUGGGAGUUCCAACUUUACUCUAUAUCAGUUUCUGUUCUGUCCCUAGUUCUCUUUCUGUCGUAGAAAGACGUACUUGUUGUUGCAGUCUUUUAUGGGCGAUGCCACCACCCUUUCUUUUUUAGGACCGUAUGUUUUUAAUGUUGUAAUUAUGAAACGAUAAAGACAAAACAUGUUAUGUCAAAAUGUAGUAUACUUAUAAAAAAAUGUUUAACUAAAAUGUAAUCUAUGUAAUCCCCAAAGGGCCAUAAAUAUUAACUAGUGAUGCUACAUAUUCACAGAAAGGUUCAAAUCUCACCUUUCUGGUAAAAAAAUAGUUGUAAAUUGCUGAGGUGUAGUCACUUUAAGACACAAGCUCAAGUAUACAGUACAAAUAUGAUACAUAUUUUAUAUUACGUAAUUCCUUUUCAACAAAACUGUAUGAAUAAGUCUUGAAAUGACUUAUAUGCUUUCUAAAUAUAUUAUAAUCAAAUUAUAAAACCUCUAAGUAUAAGAUAGUACCUUCCUUAUAACUGUAAAAUACAUAUUUGUAUGUUUAGUGUUAGAGAAAAUGUGCACAUUUUCUAAAAGUAUUUUCUUUUGUUUAAAACAAGCUCUAGCUUGGCCUUCCUGAACUCGUUAGUAACUCGCCUUUCAUCUCACAUUCAUAUGACAAAUCUGUGAAAAAACAACGUUGUUUUUUUUGUUGUUUAAAAUCUAUGAAUUAUUUUAGAUGAAUGGCUGUAAAUCAAUCUCUGAUGAAACCACUCUCUACUGCUGUGCUACGAUGUCAGGAUUUCAGUCAUGUGUUUUGUCAGUUGCUGUGACGUAAGGUUCAGCCAGGAGGUGAUGGACAGUCGGAAGAGUGAAUGAAGGACAUCCCAGUGUCAAGUGGUUUCAGAUUUCACAUCCUACAUUGCACAGGCUCAGAAAAUAUACUACUGUGUCCGUGGGAACAAGGACUGUCGUUCACAGCAAGCCAUUUCCAUAUACGUUGUCUACAUAUCGAUUUAUAAGUGAAAAUGUUGGUUGGAACCGGUACCAGAACAACACAGGUCCCCCAAACAGGGGACUUUACAUCAGUAUAGGCCAUAGGUUUACAUUACAGUGUUGUUUUAUUUAAUCCAGAUGAAAAUAAAGUUGUAC